rnacentral:rRNA from 1 species
AAGGCGUAGUCGAUGGGAAACAGGUUAAUAUUCCUGUACUUGGUGUUACUGCGAAGGGGGGACGGAGAAGGCUAUGUUGGCCGGGCGACGGUUGUCCCGGUUUAAGCGUGUAGGCUGGUUUUCCAGGCAAAUCCGGAAAAUCAAGGCUGAGGCGUGAUGACGAGGCACUACGGUGCUGAAGCAACAAAUGCCCUGCUUCCAGGAAAAGCCUCUAAGCAUCAGGUAACAUUAAAUCGUACCCCAAACCGACACAGGUGGUCAGGUAGAGAAUACCAAGGCGCUUGAGAGAACUCGGGUGAAGGAACUAGGCAAAAUGGUGCCGUAACUUCGGGAGAAGGCACGCUGAUAUGUAGGUGAAGUCCCUCGCGGAUGGAGCUGAAAUCAGUCGAAGAUACCAGCUGGCUGCAACUGUUUAUUAAAAACACAGCACUGUGCAAACACGAAAGUGGACGUAUACGGUGUGACGCCUGCCCGGUGCCGGAAGGUUAAUUGAUGGGGUUAGCGGUAACGCGAAGCUCUUGAUCGAAGCCCCGGUAAACGGCGGCCGUAACUAUAACGGUCCUAAGGUAGCGAAAUUCCUUGUCGGGUAAGUUCCGACCUGCACGAAUGGCGUAAUGAUGGCCAGGCUGUCUCCACCCGAGACUCAGUGAAAUUGAACUCGCUGUGAAGAUGCAGUGUACCCGCGGCAAGACGGAAAGACCCCGUGAACCUUUACUAUAGCUUGACACUGAACAUUGAGCCUUGAUGUGUAGGAUAGGUGGGAGGCUUUGAAGUGUGGACGCCAGUCUGCAUGGAGCCGACCUUGAAAUACCACCCUUUAAUGUUUGAUGUUCUAACGUUGACCCGUAAUCCGGGUUGCGGACAGUGUCUGGUGGGUAGUUUGACUGGGGCGGUCUCCUCCUAAAGAGUAACGGAGGAGCACGAAGGUUGGCUAAUCCUGGUCGGACAUCAGGAGGUUAGUGCAAUGGCAUAAGCCAGCUUGACUGCGAGCGUGACGGCGCGAGCAGGUGCGAAAGCAGGUCAUAGUGAUCCGGUGGUUCUGAAUGGAAGGGCCAUCGCUCAACGGAUAAAAGGUACUCCGGGGAUAACAGGCUGAUACCGCCCAAGAGUUCAUAUCGACGGCGGUGUUUGGCACCUCGAUGUCGGCUCAUCACAUCCUGGGGCUGAAGUAGGUCCCAAGGGUAUGGCUGUUCGCCAUUUAAAGUGGUACGCGAGCUGGGUUUAGAACGUCGUGAGACAGUUCGGUCCCUAUCUGCCGUGGGCGCUGGAGAACUGAGGGGGGCUGCUCCUAGUACGAGAGGACCGGAGUGGACGCAUCACUGGUGUUCGGGUUGUCAUGCCAAUGGCACUGCCCGGUAGCUAAAUGCGGAAGAGAUAAGUGCUGAAAGCAUCUAAGCACGAAACUUGCC